AACGGGCAAUCCUUCUUCACCGGGUUAAUCCUACAUCCCAUUACCCGUUGCAUUCAUCCUCUGUCUCCCUUCUGUUCGAGGGCGUGAACACGACAAAUCGAUUUCCACGCUCCACGAAACCAAGUCGGUCUGUACAUAGACUGUUCCCGAUCCCGCUUUAAAUUCUACCUCUUACACUUACUCCUCUCCGAUAACUGUACAUAGGUGCGAUCUUUACAUCUAUGAGUAAUUGGACAUUAAAUUAAACGGUCGAUUCUACAGAUAAAUGAACAAAAAAAAUUGAUGUAUCGAUUUUGGUUUAUUUAUUGAAGCUUACAUAAAGUGAAGCAGAAUAGAAUAAAAUGGUUACGUGACAAAGAUUACGAGAUAACGAAAAUAAAUUUAUCCGUUUUUACUGUGAUAUAAGUAACCGAUAUCAAGUUGAAAGAUAUAUGUAAUAAAUGCCAUUACCUUUAAAUCUUCUGAUGAAAAAGACUUUGUGUAUGACAAAACGAAGAGUGAUAAUUCGUGGCUUCGAGUUCAAACGUUUGAAAAAUAUACAGUCAUUCUGUCGACAGAGUUUUUCACUAGUUCCAGUUUUACACACAGAUGAAAAAGCUAUUUGACGAUACUGAUCGACGAAUUUUGUUACUUGUUGCUGUUGUGGAUAACUUUGAAUAUCGAUGUAGCCUCGAGGAAUGAAUCGUAGCCAAUGGAACUUAGAGUUUUUAAUUCGUGUCGCGAAUUAACAAAGUGCAAAAAGAAGUCGCAAAGUUAUUCAAAGGCUAAAGUCGUACAUGGACGAAUACAAUGAGCAUAUGGAAUUAACCAGAGUGUUUAAUUAUUGUUGAAUGACGCGUAGAUAUAGGAUAUUCUGACAUGAACAGGAUAUACAGAGUACAGUUAUGCAGAGAAGUUAUAAUGCCGGAAAUAGAAAUUCGAAAACAGAACAUUUCCUUUCUUUGUUGAAUUUCGACGAAGAUGUAUUUAAAAAAAAUAUCAACGAUCAAUCUGUUCCACGUUUAAAACUUAUCGAUUUCUCAGCUGAGGUGCAAUGUCUUCAACGUGCCAUUUAACCUUCUUGUUCAAUCUGGGAGAGCCGAUAUGGUGAAGAUUUUUUUCUGCACUUUAAGGAAGGAUACAAAGUGAUCUUAUGAAAAAUUUCGUCUCCAUCGAAGACGGUGGAGACGAUAAAUCUGGGGAACAAGACUUGCAUGAUUCCAUUAUUCUCCGUCUUGCUACGACUAUGGGCCACUGACACGGCAACAAUCGAUUUCUGCCAGCCAUGAACGUUGUUGCACGCCUCCACCCUGGCAAACCGGCCGUUUACAUUUGCGUUUAAAUUGUAACCCUGGCAAACCCCAACCCCGUGUCGGUUCUGUUUUAACUGCACGGCCGAAAGCAUCGAUCCAUGUGUGCAUUCUCGUUCUGGAAGGGAAGGAAUCUCGUUCUUCCAUUUCCACACUUUGAAAUCGUUGCAAACGAUUCCCUGCACUUUGUCGAAAUAUUUAUUCGAAUAUUUUCAUUCCUUUUGCCCCUUUGAAAUAUAUCAAGAAUCGUUGAAUUCAUAUGGCAAUAUAGAUAAAAUAUUUGGAUGAUACAAUUUUCUUGUAUAAUAAUUUAACAAUAUUGAUUAAUCGAUUGACAAAUUGGAGGUUAGAUUAGAUAUAUAUUUAAAUAAAAUAAUUCAUCAAUUAUUAAUAUUAGUUAAAAUAUAAAUUACGAAUAAGUUAAUUGAAUUAUAAGUUGUAAUUUUCUUGUAUACAUCAGAAUCCUCUCAUAUCAUGAUUUAUCAAUCAAUAAUAUUAGUUGAUGGAUUAUAUUACGUUUGCUCGAGUUGGUUAAGUUACAAAUUAUAGAUUGUACAUUAUGUUUCUUUUAUCGUUCUUUUAUCAGAAAUGCAUUGAGAAUUGUUAAAUUUUUAUGUAAUAUAUGGAUAUAUAUGUGCGUGGAUGUCAAAGUACGGUUGCUUAAACAUUCUUGUCACAUUGUUUUUAUCCAAACAUCGAUCGCAAUGUGCCCCGUAUGUGUCAUAAAAAUGUGAUUGAGGUAUCGUCGAUCUGUGAUUUAUGUCCAUUUUUAUCGCGAUCAAAUUUUUUUCAAUUCGAUCUUUGAGAUUGGAAUUUUUUUCGAUUCUACCUCUUUUUAUUAUUGAAAUUUUGUUUUCCUGAAAUUAAUCUUAUCUUAUUAUAACUGUAUAAUUUGUUUGAUAGAAUUUUUUUAAUUAUUUCAUAAUUCCAUUGUUUUUUACAAGUUGAAUUCAAGAAUCAAGGAAAAUAAAAACAAUAUUUUCACGCCUGUAUUUUUUUGGUGCAAUAUACAUACUAAUUUGUCAACUGUUUCAAAUAGGUAUAAAUAGAAUUCAUUUUUUCCCUUUGGUUAUUCACAAGAAAAUCGGUAAAAUGAAACAUUCGAUCAAUAGAAAUUUAAAAAUAAAUAUUUACAUAAUAUACGCUUGAAUUAAUAAAAUCAAAUCAUUGAAUUAAUUUCAUAGUAAUUCUUGUUGCAUUUACUGAGAGAUAAUUGUAAUUACGAUUGCGUUAUAAUCAACAAGGUAUAUGAAUAAAAAUAUAAGAAAUUGAUGUAAAAUUAUGCGAAUAAUUUAAUUUCGCGUGGUUUAUCUUCAAUUUAUUUUUUAAUCUCUCGCUAUUAAAAUCAAAACUCCUCCAGACUCGUUGUAAUAACGCCAUUUAGCCAGAACUAAGCAAGUAUGUUUUCAAAGCAUACUCGACUCGUGCAGAAAGCUUAAUGCAUAAGUGCAAUUAGAAGAAAGCUUACUAAACGGAAGCUUAUCCAAGACACGGCAAAUUUGAGAUUAUUAGAUAAAAAAGAAGAGAGGAAUACUCGUAACAAUGUAAAAUGAAUUCUAUUUUAAAUUUUUAAUAAAAAAAUAUUCCAAUAAUAUUAAAAAUAAUAUUUUAAUAUCGAUUAGCAAAUAUAUUUCUUCAAUCGAAUAAUUGUACCUAAUUGAUCUAUAAAAAAGUAAAUAGAAAUAUUAAAUUCAACUCUUAAUAUUCCAAUUCUCAAACAUAUCAAAUCAAAUAUAUGAAUCCAAACCAAUAUCCCACAUUAUUCUCUCUUCUUCUGCUUCAAUUUAUCAAAAAGAAUUCGAAAUCACGCGUAACAAACGGAAAAUUACAUUAGAUUAGAUAAAGGAUAUUUCGAAAUUCAGUUAGCCAGAGAUGAAGGAGGAAGUCCUUCUGCUCCCAGCUAUAGCUAGAUAGGAAAUAUAUCCCCGGCACAAUUUUUCCCCUCGAAUGCUUGCACUCGGCUCGGCACUGUUGCUCUUUUCUUUCUUUUUUUUUUUCGCUGCCUCUUGGCCCCUUUUCAACGAGCGAUAAAAGACUGGCGGAUGGAAGAACGACAAGGGAAAACGAUGCGACCUACCCGCACGCCAUUUACCAACCACCCCCGCACAAAGGAACACCAGAACCGGGAGCAUUAUUUGGCAUAACAAUGCUGAUUGUCCGAAGUAUGCCGCGCAAAAUGCCGGGCAAGUGAAAAAAACAUCGGGAAUGGGUUAACCGUUGUUGGGGAGGAGGAGCUAUUGAUACUGAAACGCGUCUUCGACACGGCAUUAUUAAACGGCGACCUGUUUCACAAUGGGAUUCGUAAUGGGUGUAUUAUUCAUCGAGACAACGGUCGUGCUUCCUUUCCAUUCGAACAAAGAACGUUGAAUUAAAAGUAGCGCUCGUUAUCGUUCGAGAUUAAUUAAACGCUUGUUAUUCGCGUCGUGUGUGUCGUGCGACCAUGUGUGCCAUGUACGUUGUGCAUGAACGAGCGAUUAGACACCGUACGAAAGUUCCCGAGAUAUCAUCGUGUAAAGAAAAGAUAAAUGGCAGACACGAUUCCAGGAUAAACGUAUGCGAUUCCAAAAAGAAAUAUCGACCAUUGGUAAAAUCUCGUGUAUAAUUCCUAGAAUUUUAAACACUAUGGACACUUUGAGCGCUUAUAUCUCGACAACCGAUUGAGAUAUCGGAAUGAAUCAAAAAAUGAAUUCCAUGGCGUGAUUUCCUCUAAGUUCUCGAAUUUUGCGAAUUUUCGGUGUUGAUGGCCGUUUAAUUGAAACGUGCGGAAGCGGCGUUUAACCGUCGCUGCUCGAGCAUCGACUGAUUCAAGUUUUUUUUUUCCAUUUUUAUCGCACGCUCCCGAAACUUUACAGUUUUUCAAGUUUUAUCGAUGUUGACCGGAUUAAAUUCAGAAAUGGUUCGAACUAGAGUCAAAAUCGUCGAGGACGUGGAUUUCUCGCAACCUAUGAAUUUGAAAUGGGAUGAAUAGGUGAGAAUUGAAUUCCUAACCUCUUCAAAAAAGGUACGCAUAAAGUUUAAUAUCCAAUCAAAUAUUCAAGUGCAAAAGUUCGAGGUAAGUUGCGAAUAAUCACACGUACUUUUUGCAUUGAUUGCAUUAUUUUCUGCGAAAUUUUUUUUUACAGAAACGAGCGAGGAUGGAUACAAGUUUACACGAGGAUAUAUUUAAGGUUGGAAUCCUAUCCUAUCCUCUCGCCACUUGAUACAAUUAAUUAUUUUGGCUACGUUGCACUCGGAAUAUAAGUGGAGUACAAUUUCUGGUAGAAAUUUUUUAAUUGAAACUAAGUAUUAUCACGAGGAAAGUUGGAAAUAUGCAAUUGGAAUAACAAUUAAAUAACGAGGAAUAGCCGAAUUCAUUCGAAGAACGAAACAGGGAGAAGUUCCAUUCCAUUCAGUGAUAUUGCGGCAAACGAAUCCUUCGGAUUUAGGCAUAUUUGAAAUUAUUUAGAUGGAAAGUGGAACAAGUAUUGGAAUAUUUGAAUAUUUAGCGUGGAGAAUUUUAAUGAAUGUAAUAUAUUAUGUAAUAUAAUAUAGGAUGUCAGAUGGAUAAAAUAUGAUGAAGUAAAAAAAAAAGAAUAAUAAUUGUUCUAUACAUGGUUUGUACAAGAUAGAUUAUAUAAUACAUUUCAAAAUUGUGAUUAUUAAAUUAAGAAUUAAAUUACGAUUAAAUUACGUGCGUUAUAUUAAAUUUAUUAUAGAUAUCAAAUAUAUUAAAUUAUUAUAAAAGUAUAUUGUUAUUAUGUAUUAAAUUUUAUAUAGUUUUAAUGAA